rnacentral:lncRNA from 10 species
UUUUAGUAGAGAUGGGGUUUCACCAUGUUGGCCAGGCUGGUCUUGAACUCGUGACCUCAAAUGAUCCUCCCUCCACUGCCUCCCAAAGUGCUGGGAUCACAGGCAUGAGCCACCGCGCCCAGCUGUAUUUCUUUAUAACAAUGUAAGAACAGCCUGUCACAUGCUCUUAUACAAGGAACAAUAGAUAAAGUAGAAAACUUGGAGGCCUUCCCAAAACUGGGGUUACUCAGAAAUCAACAUUGUGGAUUAGCAUCUGAGAUGGAGUUACUUUAGCCUCCACAAUAGUGUUGCCAGACACUUGUAGUGUGUCUGCAGAAACUGAUGCCCUACAAUCCCACCUCUCAGAGUGUCUGUUGAAGACCCUACCGCCUGGAACACAGUGCAAGCCCAGUGGUACUGAGUCCAGUAAUGAAACCUUAGGAUUUUGCAGCAACUCCUGUAGCGCUUUGGUCUUUAUGGACCUGGAGUCUGCUCUCAAAGAUGCCUGUGCCUGCUGCACAGUCACAAAAAAAGAAAAGAAAGAAAAAAAGAGAGAAAGAGACCAUUGAUCCAAUACUAGAGUUUAUGCAGAAACUGACAAGCAGUGCAUAGGACUACAGGACUUCAUGAUCUUCCUCAACUCUGGGAGUAGCUCUGUUCUAGCUUCACCUUGCUGCUGAUGGAGUCAUCUUCAACAAUGGCAAGAAAUCCAAGCUAGAAUUGGCCAUCCACCUAUCCCCUGGGUGUUGCCAGCAAUGGUGGAACCCUACAACUCUAUCCUGACCACCGUGCCACCCUGGAACCCUUGGACUGUGUCUUCUUGGGAGACAAUGGACCAACACAUGUCAUUGCAACCUAUACCCCCAGGGCCCCACAUACUUUAACCACUGCUUGGACCAGACUUCCUCCAUCACUACCUCCCUGAACUUUGAUGGUACCCUGAAAGCAGACCUCUCAGAGUUUAAGGCCAGCUUGGUCCCCUACCUCCAAAUUAACUUCCUUUUUGUGACCUACUAACCAAUUACCUGGUUGAGCAGUGCUUACAUUUGGAGAUCGCCAGUACCUACUUUGUACUCUCCAAUCAGAUGGCCAGAUAUGACACUGACCAAAGCAAGUACAGAGCUUGCUCUGCAUGUUCUGCCCCAGGGUUGUAGCCUAAAGACUGAAUGCUGCCAUUGUCCCACCAAGACCAAGUGUGCCAUACACUUGGUUGAUGACUGGUGCCCCACUGGGUUUCAGGUUGGCUUUAAUUUCCAGCCCUCCAAUAGUAGUUCCCCAGGCAAAGUGCUGAGCAAUACCACAACCAUCACAGGGGCCUGGGCCUUUAUCACAAGCCUGCCAAGCAAGCACUUACAAACCAGAAUGAGAGUGAGGGCAUGGAGAAGGGGAUGUUUUAUGAGGGCUUCAAUGGCCUGGCUGCUUUGUAAAUAUUUUUUGGUUUUGGUAGAGACAGGUCUCACUGUGUUGCCCAGGCCGGUCUCAAACUCCUGACCUCCCAGAGUGUUGGGAUUAUAGGCGUAAGCCACCAUGCCCAGCCUGUAAAUGUUUAUAAAGAAAUGCUGUAAUAAAACAUAUUGAGAAAGCAAAUGUGGCAGGGAGAUAAUAAGAAGGACACAGGAUGAUAAGGGAAAGUGGUAGCUGGGUCAAGGGAAGGGCCUGAACAUCAAUCAGCUGUAGUGACUUCUCAAAAAAAAAAAAAAAAUCACAUGACUUUAGGGCUUCUUGGACUCUAAUUUGCAUGCAGACUUCUGUGGAUCAUGUUGAAUUGUAGAUUCUGACUCUGUAGGUCUGAGGUAGAACCUGAGAUCUCUAUUUCUAACUAGCUCCUAGUUAUGCCUGUGUUCCUACUGCCAAUCAGCAGACUACCCUUUAAGUAAUGAGCUCUAGAGCAACCCUGUCUGUUAGAACAUUCUGUAAUGAUGGAAAUGUUCUAGACCCACACUCUCUGAUACAGUAGCCAUUAGCUACAUGUGGUUGUGGAGGAUCUGAAAUUUGGCUAGUGUGACUGAAUUUUGAAUUUUAAUUAAGUUAAAAUUUAGAAGCCAUACGUGGCUAGUAGCUACCAUACUGGACAGCAAGGUCUACAUCUCUUAAUCCUCAUCUAUAAAGAUGAGAGUUUGGGCUGGGUGUGGUGACUCACGCCUGUCAUCCUAGCAGUUUGGGAGGCCAAGAUGGGUGGAUCGCUUGAGCCCAGGAGUUCAGGACCAGCUUGGGCAACGUGGCAAGACCCCAUCUCUACCAAAAGUGAAAAAUUAGCUGGGUGUAAUGGCAUGUGCCUUUGGCCUCAGCUACUUGGGAGGCUGAGGUGGGAGGAUCCUUUGAGCCCAGGGAGGGCAAGGCUGCAGUAAGCUGUGAUCAUGUCACUGUACCCCAGGCUGGAUGACAGAGUGAGACCCUGUCUCCAAAAAAAAAGAAUAAAAGUUUUAGACUAAACAAUUCUUGAGGUCCCUUCUAGUAUUCUGUGGUUCCAAGUUGUUUUUAAGGUGUGUAUGGGGUGGGGUAGGGACGGGAGAGGAUUGACAGAUAUGAAA